GGACACAAGGAUGGCAUUAGAGGCUAAACUGAGAUGUUAGAUACCCGUUAGCUCUCAGGGCUCACGCGCAUAUUAUUGCAUUGUAAUUCAUUUGAAAUCUUUACUUUCACAGGAGAAAGGCAUCAAUGCAAAGGAACUCAAAGCAAAGUGGUACCAAGAACAGUGUAAUUGGAAAAAUGAAAACAGACAGCUUGGGAAUAACAAGGGAGAAAGAGGAGAGAGGAGAAGGAGGAAAAUCCCCCCACCAACAUCAUGUUAGAGCUUGCAGGCCAGCACAGAAACGAAAUGGAUCCAUUGCAUCAAGGCAGGUGACAGGAAAAUUGCAGAA
rnacentral:lncRNA from 11 species